CCUACGGGAGGCUGCAGUGGGGAAUAUUGGGCAAUGGGCGCAAGCCUGACCCAGCAACGCCGCGUGAAGGAAGAAGUCUUUCGGGUUGUAAACUUCUUUUCUCAGGGACGAAGCAAGUGACGGUACCUGAGGAAUAAGCCACUGCUAACUACGGGCCAGCAGCCGCGGUAAUACGUAGGUGGCAAGCGUUAUCCGGAUUUACUGGGUGUAAAGGGCGUGUAGGCGGGGAAGCAAGUCAGAUGUGAAAACCAUGGGCUCAACCGGUGGCCUGCAUUUGAAACUGUGUUUCGUGAGGACUGGAGAGGCAGACGGAAUUCCUAGUGUAGCGGUGAAAUGCGGAGAUAUUAGGAGGAACACCAGUGGCGAAGGCGGGCUGCUGGACGGCAACUGACGGUGAGGCGCGAAAGCGUGGGGAGCAAACAGGAUUAGAUACCCGGGUAGUC
rnacentral:rRNA from 1 species